AACGCUAGCUACAGGCUUAACACAUGCAAGUCGAGGGGAAACGAUAGAGAAAGCUUGCUUUUUCUAGGCGUCGACCGGCGCACGGGUGAGUAACGCGUAUCCAACCUGCCCACCACUUGGGAAUAACCUUGCGAAAGUAAGACUAAUGCCCAAUGACAUUUAUAGAAGGCAUCUGAAAUGAAUUAAAGAUUUAUCGGUGAUGGAUGGGGAUGCGUCUGAUUAGCUUGUUGGCGGGGUAACGGCCCACCAAGGCGACGAUCAGUAGGGGUUCUGAGAGGAAGGUCCCCCACAUUGGAACUGAGACACGGUCCAAACUCCUACGGGAGGCAGCAGUGAGGAAUAUUGGUCAAUGGGCGAGAGCCUGAACCAGCCAAGUAGCGUGCAGGACGACGGCCCUAUGGGUUGUAAACUGCUUUUAUGCGGGGAUAAAGUCUGGGAUGCGUCCCAUUUUGCAGGUACCGCAUGAAUAAGGACCGGCUAAUUCCGUGCCAGCAGCCGCGGUAAUACGGAAGGUCCGGGCGUUAUCCGGAUUUAUUGGGUUUAAAGGGAGCGCAGGCGGUCUUAUAAGCGUGACGUGAAAUGCAGCGGCUCAACCGUAUGAUGUGCGUCGCGAACUGUGAGACUUGAGUGUAUUCGAUGUCAGCGGAAUUUGUGGUGUAGCGGUGAAAUGCUUAGAUAUCACGAAGAACUCCGAUUG
rnacentral:rRNA from 1 species